CUGCUGUUAUUCACCAUUACAGCUUGUUAUAAUUUAUUAUGAUGGUAUUCUGUUUGAAAUCAUCCAUUUGCAACUUGCAAAGCACCACUACAUUCACCUUAAACCUGCUUUCUGUCCCAGCCAAUGGUGGCAGGGGCCGGCUAGCCUGUCCCCCCGGAGCAUUAACCCUUGUCGCGAGCUGCAGAGAGAGAGGAGCUGAGCUUUGGCCCCGAGGAGCUGUGUGCAUGGAUCUGGCACAGCUUUGCUCCUUUCACUCCUGGACCUUUGUUUUGGUGGCGAGCGGGGAGAGCAGGGAGCGCUGUGCUCGCGUUUCCCUCCGGCUUACACACACACACACACACACACACACACACACACACACACACACACACAAAUCCCCUUUCCAACUUUCUGCCUUUUGCGCUUCCCUCCCAGUUUUUCACUUCUCAGACCUACUGGCAGCAUUUGCCGAGAUCUAGAUCCCCGCCGUGCUCACUCAACGGUCUCAUACAGAGCUGGGUAAAUAUGUCAAAAACUACAUCGGAAAGUCUCAGUUCAGAUAAACCCUGCAUAUCCUCGUCAGCAGUCAUGAGGCUUUUCUGUUUGCAUACUUUCAAGAGGCAUUCAUACAUGCAGUUCCUGUGUUGUCAUUCUGGACUUGCAUAGAGGGGACUGUGGCUUUCAGCUGGAUGUUGUAGAUACAAGGCCACAUUCUGCUUUGGCAUCGCUGCUGAUGUGCUCCCUCCCACUUUCCCAGGCUAAUAAAUGAACAGGCAAACAAACCUAUACAAGCCAUGGUUACUUUCAAGGAAAUCUACUUUAGCCUGAAUGGAGUACUGUGUAGCCUGACCCUACAGAAACCAAAUUAACAUCUGGAUCUGAAGUUCAUGGCUGUCUCUUCAGAAAUACAAUACAUGAAACUGGGAUUCCAUAUCUGAGAGUGGUUGGCAGCUUGAGCGAUGAACUGAGAUUUGUUGGCUGAGGAUCAACCCAAGAAAUUCCACCAAUAUGCUACUGUGCUGUUUCCCCUGUAAACUGUUUUUUUUUUUUUAAAUUUGUGAAACAAAUGACUAUAUCAGCUGAAAAGGUAAUUAAACUAACAACCAAAAUAAAUGCUUUAAAGGCC